rnacentral:rRNA from 1 species
CUGCGAAUGGCUCAUUAAAUCAGUCAUAGUUUAUUUGAUGGUACCCUACUACAUGGAUAACUGUGGUAAUUCUAGAGCUAAUACAUGCCGAAAAAUCUCGACUUCUGGAAGAGAUGUAUUUAUUAGAUCCAAAACCAAUGGCCUUCGGGUCUCCUUGGUGAAUCAUGAUAACUGCUCGAAUCGCAUGGCCUUGCGCCGGCGAUGCUUCAUUCAAAUAUCUGCCCUAUCAACUUUCGAUGG